ACUACUACUAUUGUCCAGGAAAAUCACAAUAAGGGCAUGAAUUAGAAUAGAGAAAAACAAAGGGGUAGGGGAGACGGAGGAAGGAGGAGGAUAGAAGUCCUGGCCAUUCCAGUGUGGAUGCCCACCCAAAUCUAGAAGUAAUUGAGCAAAGGCAACUAGAACAAACAGAAAUCCUCGCCUUGGUGAAAUAUAUUUGAACUGGGUCAGAAAUGAGGCCAAUGGGUAUCAAGCCUUAGCUCCAGCGCCCCCUGGAGGUCUCUGAUGUGCUCCAGGCUGACCAGCUCCUGACAAAGAAGAUGGAGCAAAGUGCUUCUCAUGGAAUGUUCUGGGACCUUAAAACAGACACCCAUAUGAUUUUCAUGCUUCCCAGGACACCUAUGGGGAAGAAGUUCCACUUAAUCCACAGUUGGGAUUCAGACAUGGGUUGACCAGUCUGAUGGAUGUUGAGUUUAUGGAGGUGGUUGAAGUACAGUGAGAGCUAAGUGCUUCUGAAAUAAAAUCACAUUGAGGGAAGAGGCUGUGAAUGUGGAUACUCCUGGACACAAGGCAAAAAUACCAUAGGGAGUAAGUGUUGUGGGUUAGUUCAAGACUGUUGAUUUACCUGGCACAGGCCCACGUCAGGGUAUUUGUGUUCUCAAGAACAGAGUAAAUAAGGACCUAGAAGCUCUGAUUUGGAAGAUUCCUGUAAUUGGGCUGUUCUCUAGGGGCAGUUGGCCCUUUUCUGCCUUCUGUGGAGGAAAAGGGUACUGGCAGCUGAGGUCCAAAGGAAAAGCUGCAGAUGGUAGUGUGGAAAUUGAUCUGUAAGCAGCAGAAAAAGAGGGGGCAAAAAUAGAGAGAUGCCAAGGCACAGCCAGCACCUGGUUAUCUGUGAGAACCUCAAUGGACGUGACAACACAGUGUAGAGGAGGAACUUAGGGAAAAUGAUGGGAUUUCUACCAUUUAAGCAUGUAGGGGCUCAGGAUAUUAUGUAAAUAGGAGGAUUUUGAGUGUAGGCAAGGCCCGAAAAUCCAUAACUUACUUGCGAAAUAGGUCAUGUCAAGCUCACUUUAUUUUCUUGGUAUAUUUAUGAAAUAUAAUUUUUGGAUUAAUAGACCGUGAGAAUGUUGUUUAUAUAUAUAUAUUAAUUUCAAGAAAUUAUUUGAGCAAAUUUUUCAUCUUUUACAUCAGGAUAGAACACUCAAAAGAUAAGGUAGUGUCACUGCUGAUUAAAUAUUCUUUGUCCAAAGGCUGUUAAUCAGUGGCUGAUAGACAAGAUUUCUUUUAAAUGUGCUACAAACUGUCCAGAGGAGGCUGAACGUCUCCCCCUCCAAGAAGGGGCCCCUGCAGUGCCACAACCUGCUCGUCUGCCACAUGACAGAUUUCCACCCAGGCAGCAUUCAAGUCCGAUGGUUCCUGAAUGGACAGGAGGAAACAGCUGGGGUCGUGUCCACCAGCCUCAUCCGUAAUGGAGACUGGACCUUCCAGAUCCUGGUGAUGCUGCAAAUGACCCCCCAGCAGGGAGACGUCUACACCUGCCAAGUGGAGCACCCCAGCCUGGACAGUCCUGUCACCGUGGAGUGGAGUGAGGGUCUGAUGACCCUCUAGACUCCACCUCUGAAGAGCACGGCACUCUCUGGCUCUGGGGUUCACUCGUCUUGUCUUCUGCGUCUAUACCCUGGGGCCAUGUCUGACCCCAUUUUUCUUCUAUACAAGACCCUGAGUGUAGUUUUAAUCUGGGGGCAAUGGAGACUUGCCUGUCCCAGCCUAGGAGGUCCUAAGGAUUCAUAGUUCCUCUCCUUGUCCAAGAAUCUAGGGACGCAGACACGUCCUGAACUGACCUUACACAUGGGAACUAUUGUCUUCCUUCAGCCUUUUAGCUUAUUCUAGUUAUUUUGAAAGGCAGCUAAUUGAAUCUGCAUUUGUUGUCGAGGUCACACUCUCUGUUCCAGAACUGAGAGAGUGACUGUUUCUCAAUUUCCUGUUAUGCAAGGUGUGUACCCCGCACUGUCCUCGUGCUGAUAUUCUGCAUCAGGCUCCAGGAUCUCAGACAGAACAUGAUCAGGGGCGCAGCUGCUGGAGGUGACACUCCACAUGAGCCUCUUCUUCCCAGAGACACAGUCUGAUUCUACCCAGAGCAAGACGCUGACAGGAGCCGCGGGCUUUGUGCUGGGGCUCAUCAUCUGUGGAGUGGGCAUCUUCAUGCACAGGAGGAGCAAGAAAGGAAAGAAGACAACCAUGAAAAUGGGGAUAUCCAAGCUAUUGUAUAAGGUGGCCCGUUGGACAUGGACCUCUCCUGGAUUUACUGUAUUUCAGUGAGCUGCCCCAUCAUCGUGUUUGGUGUCUUCAUCCAUUCAGGUCUGAAGCCACUAUUCUUAGCUAUUCAGUGGUGAGCAGACUGCAAAUCUGUGUUGUAGGAACCAUAUUGCCAUAGCACUGAUUCGACAUAUAACUUACUAAGAGCAUGUAUUAGCAUUACUGUUAAGAAAUUAAAUGAGCAUCAGAAUUUAAAAUGAUAAAUACAAUCUAACACACUUUCAACAUUUUCUCUGCAUGCCGUCACAAAUACCCCUUAACCAAAUGUUGCUUGGCCUUUUGAAUGCAUCCAGUAGACAUUUAUCCUGUAAGUCUGCAUUCAUUCACCAGCCUAGACCUCCUGAGCUAAUAAUUCAUACAGAGAGAAAUGACUCCCAUUGUUGAAAGUGCAAAGCAAUAUGUGCAGCACUCUUUCAAACACUGAUCUUUUUUUAACAGUCAAAAAUUGUUAUGUGUUUUGCAUUUCAUAUUAAGUUACUGUAAAUUAAGGUAGAAGACAUGUUUGGUCUAAGCUUUUCUUUUCAUGUAGAGGAUGGAUUGAUUCUUAACUCCUGAUACACACAAUGAGCACUCAGUGGCUCUCUGAUACAUCCAGUUGUUGGCUUCCUUCUCCCUGACUUCUCACAAGCAGCUUCUGGGCCUUGUGUGCCCCUGGGCACCUAUCCCUGGUCAGUUUCCCAGAGCUACCUGUGUUCCUCUCACUAUCCAAUCAGAGUCGUCCCCUUCCAUUUUUGUCCCCUGGAAACAUGCUGUAGGUGUCAGCAGUACCCAGAGUGGAGUGAACAAUCUCCAGACUAACUCUUGCAGGAUGCAAAACUGAGGUAUCUGCACCCAUAAUGCACCUGUAUCCUACAAUUACAGGUCCAGGAUUUGCAUUCCUAGGGAACUGAGAAUAUAAGCAGUCACAGAAAGGCAUCAGAUGUGUCUAGCUCUGACAUACACAGGUAUUUAUUGAACUCUGGGAUUUCUCAGGAAAAACGCAGUGCAGAGAAAGGUCCCUGAUGAGACCACAGCAUACAGACCAUCCAGUGUGGGCACCACCUUGUCACUAUACUUUAAAUUCUUCAUAUUGAUUGAGUGCUAUCUAAAUAUCAGACCCUUUGCUGAGUGCUAGGUGCAGGAAGAUCACAGGUAGCCAGGAGGUGGAGGGGUCUUGGGGUACAUAAGUCAUUGUGGUUGAAAAGCAGGGAUUCAAAAGAAAGCUAGGCUGGGAGCUUCAAAGGAGACCUGAAGCUGGUCACUUCCUUAUGUCAACUUCUAACUGAGAAAGUUUGACACCUGGAGUAGAGCAAACACAGUGGGGUUAGGACUGCCAGCUUAGUGUUGUGUCCCCCCCUCCCUUUCCAUCCCUGGUCCCUUCAUUUUCUGCCCCUCACAGUGUGAAUAAACUCUGACAGAUGCCAGACCAUCUCCUUCUUGUCCAGGUGCACAAAGAACUGCUCGUCUUCAUCAAAUUCAAACAUAUACUCCCCAGAGGGUCUGUGUGUCUGCACAAACUCUGCAUACUUGGACACAGGGUCUGCUGCAUGAAGGGGAAGAAGACUGCAGAAUGGUGAACGUGUAGGAAACUACACAGAAUACAAGAAGCAAGCAGUAAAAGAAUAAAGAUGAGAGAGCACGGGGUUCAGCCUGGAAGAGGAAGUGAAGCGAAAUGACACUGCAUGGUUGUUGUUCCCUAAGGAUUUCCCCUCCAAGCCCAAGACGGGGAAAACCAGUCCUCUCCUUGGAUGCAUCAAGUGACAGCAAGUUCAGUGUCACACACGGAUGCUGAGGAUCCUCCACUGAGUUUAUGGGCUAGAGAAUUAUUCACCUACAGAAACGAAGCCCAAAGAAAAACCAAAUGAAAAACGUGAUAUACAAGCUGUGCUACAGAGGCACUAAGGAUGUAACUCAGAAGACAUGGGCCUUGUCCUCAAGCUGCUUGAAAUCCAAAAUCCAAAGAGACAAAGAAAAGAAGAUUGCUACAUGUGUAUUUUAUUUCGUGUUUUUUAAAUUUUUUAUUUCCAUAGGUUGUUUUGAUCACCACUGAGUACCAUAAGAUAUACACUGGAGCCACUCAGGAGCAUAAAGAGGGCACUUUGAAAAAAUGAGAUUUAGGAAAGGUUCCUGGGGACUGUGUUUACCUGAGGUUAGCAAAACAGAGAAAGGGGAAACGGCAUUUCCAGCAGGAGAUGCAGGCUCAGGAGCAGAGAGACAUGAAGUUACAAGGAGAACUGCAGUUCUUCAGUGUGACUGAAGCCAGGUGGGAUGUGGGCCGGGCUGCACUGUAACCUGCCUUGUGUGCUGAUGGCAGGUGUUUGCAUUUUAUCCCACUGGACAUGGGAGGUUGUGAAGCAUCUUAAGCAGGACAGUAACAUGAUGAGAUUUGUGUGUGGAGGGGGCAGCGGCAAGGAGGAUGGGUUGGAGAAGGCUGGUUUGAAAGCAAGACCAGUACAACUCUUCAGCCAUCAGGUGGGAAGUCAUGAGGGUGUAGGCAGGGGCAGGAACACGGGGUGAGGAAGACAGCAGAUGGGUUUGAAUGGCAGUAAUGACAUGAGAGGCCACAGGAAUCACUAAAUCUUGUGCCAGAAGUAGGGAUGUGAAGGAGUCCAGAAUACCCAGACAGUGUGGAGAACUGUGGCAUCAGUGACUGCAGAGGUGAUGAAAAAUGAAAUAAUUGAGAGAAGGUUAGAUGUUCUGUUUGGAACAUGCUUAGUUUGAACUUCUGUGGGAACAAAUGGAGUUAAUCUGAGGAUAGUGAGCUAAAUGGCUGGGUCCCAGGCUACACUAGCUUAGUGACAUAGACUGGAAGGAGACUCAUUAUAAGCGAAGUUCUACAUUUGGAUCGGGUCACUCAAGAAAAGUACACAGGCCAGGCACGGUGGCUCAAGCCUGUAAUCCCAGCACUUUGGGAGGCCGAGACGGGCGGAUCACGAGGUCAGGAGAUCGAGACCAUCCUGGCUAACACGGUGAAACCC